UUCUAGGUCAAGCUACUAAGGGUAGACGGUGGAUGCCUUGGUGCGAAGAGGCGAUG
rnacentral:rRNA from 1 species